rnacentral:rRNA from 1 species
UACGAAGGGGGCUAGCGUUGCUCGGAAUCACUGGGCGUAAAGCGCACGUAGGCGGAUCUUUAAGUCAGGGGUGAAAUCCCAAGGCUCAACCUUGGAACUGCCUUUGAUACUGGGGAUCUCGAGUCCGGAAGAGGUUGGUGGAACUGCGAGUGCAGAGGUGAAAUUCGUAGAUAUUCGCAAGAACACCAGUGGCGAAGGCGGCCAACUGGUCCGGUACUGACGCUGAGGUGCGAAAGCGUGGGGAGCAAACAGG